ACAGCCGAGGCUGGCGCUGGGGGUUCGGAACCAGUACUUAACCCCGAGCCCAGCUCGGGGACUGUCAGAUGAUUCGGGUCGGAAGGCCGUUCCCGGGCUGUUUCCAGCCGAUUUGGGAGGACUUCAUAAUUUUAGAAUAAGGGAAUUUGUUGGCCCCAAGCGCAGGCUUCGCACCCUUCCGGAAGACAAGAUUCCAGACGCAAGGAGGCCUCGGCCAGCUCCCAGCGGGCGGGAGCGCCCCGGCCCUCCGCCCCCGCAAAGCUUGGCCCUUUCAGGCCUCGGCCCGGCCGGGUGUCCACGGGCCAGCGCCACCCGCGUCCCUAGCUCUCCCAGCAGGAUCCUAUCCCCCUUCCCCGGUUUGGCUCUCCCCAACCAAACCAAUCCCCCCACCCCCGCCACUUCUGGGUGGGUAUGUGUGAGCUGCAAUGAAAAAAUGACCGACCGCGCGGUGCCCGAAACCCGGAAGGAGGAUAGCUUGGCCGAGACCCGAGGAGCGAAGGGAAGGUGACAAGGCGAAGGGAGAAUUUUCUUUUUUAGGCAUCACUAGGAGAAAUUUCUGGCAAAGCCUGCAAAGAUCUCAACGUGGUAACAUCGAGGAGAGGAAGGGGCUGUCUUUGUUAAUAGAUGAUACUUUUGUUAAUAGAAGAUACGUGGAGAGUAGAGAAACUGAACGGUUCUCUAUAUCCAAAAGGAAACCAAAAUAUUGCCAAGAUGGUGUUCGCACCUGAAAGUAAACUUCAAAAAAAAAAAAAAAAAAAAAAAAAGCCUACACUGUUGUGUUUUU